GCCAGUGUAGUGUAGUGGUCUGAGUAUUGGACUAUGACUUUGGAGGCUAGGAUUCAAAUCCCUGCUCAGCCA